rnacentral:rRNA from 1 species
UACGUAGGGCGCAAGCGUUGUCCGGAAUUAUUGGGCGUAAAGAGCUCGUAGGCGGCCAGUUGCGUCUGCUGUGAAAUCCCGGGGCUCAACCCCGGGCGUGCAGUGGAUACGGGCUGGCUAGAGGCAGGCAGGGGAGAACGGAAUUCCCGGUGUAGCGGUGAAAUGCGCAGAUAUCGGGAGGAACACCGGUGGCGAAGGCGGUUCUCUGGGCAUGUCCUGACGCUGAGGAGCGAAAGUGUGGGGAGCGAACAGG